AUGCCGCUGCCACCUCUUUCCGGCGACCACCAUAGCCCUGCACCAAUUAUAAAUCAGUGGGUAUAAAGCUUAAUUUCUCUUUGUCAAAUCAGUUCUAUAUAAACGUAUAUAUACAUGUGGUGUUGUGUUUAUAUGGUUUAAUUUGAUUUAUAUAAUCGAUUUAUGUGUGCUUGUAUGUAUAUAAACUGAUUAUAUGCUGGUUAUUGAAAUUUGAAGGUUGAUUGAAUUUUUGAGAUUGAGAUUGGUGUUAGUAAUCGUAUGAUUGAAUUGUGUGCUUAAUUGAUAUUUGAAUUGGUUGUUGGAGGUUCAUUAUAAAUGGUGCGCCAACUAGUAGUGUAAUCGGAUGACUUGGGUACUUGAUUUAUGGGAAUAUAUAACUGAGUAUUAAAGCUUUAAGGUCUGAGAUUUUGUGUAAAUGUUUUCAGAAUGGUGUUUUAAGAGUUUAAGUAUUGAGCUAAAAAAAAUUUAGAUUUACACAUAAUCGGUUGAAUUGUAAGUUGCUGCUGAUCUGUUUUGCAGUAAAAUUCUGGGCUUCUAGAGUCGAAUUAUAUGCUUAAUAUUUUUGUGGUUAUGUGCUCCUCAGAGUCUAGUUUAUGUGCGCAAAAGAAUCGAAUCAAUUCGAUUAGCGAGCUAGGAGAUAUGACCGUUUUAGUAUAGUAUGGUGCUGAAAAUUCUGGGCAGGUUUGUCCUGUUCCAGGCUCUGUUUUACAGCUUUAAACUUGGAUUUUCUUUCUGAAAAUUUUACUGUAGGUUGGAAUAAUAUUUAGGAGUGUCUCAUAAAAAUUUCGUAUUUAAAAGAUAAAUUUUCAAUUUAUUAAAAAUCAUAGACCGAGGGCUGUUUGAACUAUUUGUUCUAUUUUUCUUUCUUUGCUAGUGCAUAGUAUGAGGUUAUACUUGACUAAUUGCAUAUGAUUGAUUAUUACAUUGAUUGGCUCGGUUAACCUUGUAUAUCUAAUUAAAAGUGUUUUGCGUAUAACAAGUUAGCAAUCCUGCUAAAAGAUUUUAUUAUAUGUUUACUACAAGUCAAGACAGAUUUUCUUAUGUGUUUACUGCAAGUCAAGGGAUCUUUUUAUAUUAAUAAUUCAUGUGUUAGCAAUAGUAUUGGUUGGUUGUUGGCAUUGCAAACAGGUGGAUAAGCUUAUAAACAGAGGAGAUGCUGCCGAAUUUUCGUUAGAAAUUAUAUGGAUUUAAUGCCUAUAAAAAGGGUUGUUUGUACAACUAUGUGCUAUGUGUUUAUGUGACUGUGGUAUGUAUAUGCGAAGGGUAGAUAUAUAUAUAGGUCUUAAUGCAAUUCAGGGUUAGUCAAUAUGUCUAAUCCGACGACUGAAAUACUAUUUUAUCAUCGUAUAGAAUUGAAGACAUUGACCGAGGCAUUAAUCGAGAAGUGAUUGAAAGGGGUAUUCAGAAAUAGCCAAGCAGAAUGUUACAAGUUGAAGUAGGACGGAGAUUUGUUAUAGAUAAAAGUGUGUCAGAAGCUGGCAGAAAGGAAUGAUUAUGCGGUAUAUAGUGUUACUAGGAAUCUGAGCUAAACUUUGGAGUUAAGGCAAGUACUUCUACCUUCUCUCGCAAUUUAGAAGCAAGUAUUUCUACCCUACUCCUCUAGUACCUAUAGAUACUAAAACCUUCUUUAUAUCAUGAUUCAAAUUAUUUGCAAUUACUUUCUUGUGAAGCAUAUCUAGU
rnacentral:lncRNA from 1 species